UUCUCUGCAUUCAAAACACACAGAUACAAAAGUUAGCUGUGACUGCAGUACCCACAAGUGUUAAUUACCAGUUGUCUGAAACUAUAUUAUAGCCUCUCACUGAAGAUUGAUAUAUGUCUUUCAAGCUGCAGGGCAUGGGCCUUUUUCUUUUCAGUUUUCAGUAUUAAAAGAACAAAGAGUUGGGAGUUUUUUGUUUAUUUGUUUUCUUAAGUGUUCUCUCUGUCUUUUCCUGUUAAGAUAACAGAGAUGAGGAGGAGAUAUUCUCCAUCCCUUCACAGGCACACAACUGGCAAUGGAAAUGGCCAACAACUAUUACAGUGCCUUGGCUAACUAUUACAGGUAAAAGGCUUGACAGACUGCGAAAUGAAGGAUCAUGCACUGACCUCUACGAAGCGAAAUGAAGACAAUUACUUAAGGGAACAGAGCAACAGAAAUUUGUUAAACAGCAGCAGGAAAAGAUGUCUGCAUUUUAGCACCUAGAUACCAGUGUCAAGUGCUCUAGAAACAAACCUGGAAGAAGGAAGCAAGAGUAGGAAUAGCCCACACCAGAAUUUUUCUUAAAGCUAUCUACACCAUGCACUGUCUUUUAGCUACAACUAGGCAAGAUGUUAUGUCUUUAGGCCACAGUGACUUUAAUUCCACAAAAAUAAACAUGGCAGAGCAACUGCCAGUUCAGCCAUACACUUACAUGAUAUACCAAUGUCCCUUUCAGAGAUUUCCUAUAUAAAUCUAGCACAUGGAAGAGAAUUCAGAGCUUCUUAUCUGGCACUGCCCUGUUGAGUUUUUGAAAUUGUGUACUCAACAGUUUAAUUAGAAGUGCCUGGCAAUUAUUCAAGGACCAUUCUAUAUAGUUUUGUUUUUAUUUAGUGAUCUCUUUGAAACAGCGUAACCUUUAGCAUGAUUAAAUUAAGAUACCCUGCUAGACUGUGCAAUUCAUACUUAAGACUUUUUCCAAACUUUUUAUUAAUUUUAUUUUACUGUGCAGUAAAGCUAGUUACUCGAGAGAUCUCAGGAUUACUUUUCUAGUGUUUCUGCUGCAGUCCCCGAGCAUCUUCUUGGUAUAUAGGUGCCAAAGAAAGUUGUACAAAAUAGAUGGAAUAAAAGAUUGUACUGAUCAUGCCACAUCCACCCACCUCUCACCUUUCCGCUUUCUGAUAAGGGUCAGGCGAUGCUCUUUCAUUUCCACAUCCAGUUUUUCUACCAUCCUGUCAAUGCAGUUAUCCAGCACAAGAGAGCGUGUCUUUGAUUUGAUCUCCUGCCUGCAGAUGGGGCACUCCACUUUACGUUUCGUCCACUCAUCGAUACAGUAGGAGCAGAAGCUGUGUGCACAGUUCAGAGUGACAGCCUGUGGAAUUCAAUCAAAUGACACUGGUCACAGCAUGCCCAUACAGGCAUUGUAAAGAAAAAACAUACUGAAGACAGAGAAAUAUUAGAUGGACACUUCCUAUAAGGAAAGAGAGGGGAGAGCCUAAAGCCCCUUUUCUUUAGCUUUAAAGGGGUUACACACACAAACUUUCCCAUGCCAGAGGGCAGGCCAGUUUUACAAGCAAGUUAAUGGAGUCACUGUAAGUCACAGCAAGGCAGAAACAGACAAAAUGAAUUAAUUCUAAGUUUCCCUAAUAUGAAAAGGAUAAAUUAUGAAAAAGCUCAGAUACUGCAGAUUAGUAUUUUAAAUUACUGAGAAACCAGAAAUUAAAAUUUGAGCUAGCUCUUAAGCCGUUAUAGCAAGACUAAAACAUCAGUUUUCCCCAUAGUAGAAAUUAAUGUAAUGCAACUGAAGGUCCAGCAAAACAUGAACAAAACUAACAGUCAGACAUAUCCUAUCAAAUCUAGAAUCAAAUAAAAAUAGGCCAAUUUCUCAAAGAAAGUGUUUAUCUGAACAAUAUAAACGGUUCAGGAUUUGAUUGAUCUAACCUCUCCAUAUAUCUAAACCUGAAACAGUCCAAAUCCAGCCAACUUAAAGCAAGGUCCACUACAAAAUGAUUCCUCCCCAAGACGGCCAUCAGCAGCGACUCAGAGCACCAGUUCAAAAACCUGCACAAGUGCUCCGAGCUUAUAUGCAUCUUAGGAUUAAGCAUGUCUAUGCAGGUGGAGACAAUAAAGUUGAAUUUUCUGUCCAGAAGAGUCAGGGCAAACAGAAUGGAUUUCUGGAUCAACCCUUUCCCAUAACAACGCACUGCAGGUCUGUUGGGACUGUUAAACUAGUGAAGUAAAGAAACAGGCUUAACUAUUGCUUUAACAGAACUAGGAAAAGCUACUCAAGUCUCUUCUUUACUGGCAAACCCAUACGGGUUUACACAUACCUCAAUAAAGUGCUCAGAACAGAUUGUGCAUUGCAACUCAUUCUCCAACACAUCAUUCAUCUGAUUCAGCACCUCUUCUUUUUGGGCUCUCACCUUUUCCUUCUCCUCC